CCUACGGGAGGCUGCAGUGGGGAAUAUUGGACAAUGGGCGAAAGCCUGAUCCAGCCAUGCCGCGUGUGUGAAGAAGGCCUUCGGGUUGUAAAGCACUUUCAGUGGGGAAGAAAGCCUUGGGGCUAAUACCCUCGAGGAAGGACAUCACCCACAGAAGAAGCACCGGCUAACUCCGUGCCAGCAGCCGCGGUAAUACGGAGGGUGCGAGCGUUAAUCGGAAUUACUGGGCGUAAAGCGCGCGUAGGCGGUCUGAUAAGCCGGUUGUGAAAGCCCCGGGCUCAACCUGGGAACGGCAUCCGGAACUGUCAGGCUAGAGUGCAGGAGAGGAAGGUAGAAUUCCCGGUGUAGCGGUGAAAUGCGUAGAGCUCGGGAGGAAUACCAGUGGCGAAGGCGGCCUUCUGGACUGACACUGACGCUGAGGUGCGAAAGCGUGGGUAGCAAACAGGAUUAGAUACCCCAGUAGUC
rnacentral:rRNA from 1 species